GAGUUUGAUCAUGGCUCAGAUUGAACGCUGGCGGCAGGCCUAACACAUGCAAGUCGAGCGGUAGCACAGAGAGCUUGCUCUCGGGUGACGAGCGGCGGACGGGUGAGUAAUGUCUGGGAAACUGCCUGAUGGAGGGGGAUAACUACUGGAAACGGUAGCUAAUACCGCAUAACGUCGCAAGACCAAAGUGGGGGACCUUCGGGCCUCAUGCCAUCAGAUGUGCCCAGAUGGGAUUAGCUAGUAGGUGGGGUAAUGGCUCACCUAGGCGACGAUCCCUAGCUGGUCUGAGAGGAUGACCAGCCACACUGGAACUGAGACACGGUCCAGACUCCUACGGGAGGCAGCAGUGGGGAAUAUUGCACAAUGGGCGCAAGCCUGAUGCAGCCAUGCCGCGUGUAUGAAGAAGGCCUUCGGGUUGUAAAGUACUUUCAGCGAGGAGGAAGGCGUUAAGGUUAAUAACCUUAGCGAUUGACGUUACUCGCAGAAGAAGCACCGGCUAACUCCGUGCCAGCAGCCGCGGUAAUACGGAGGGUGCAAGCGUUAAUCGGAAUUACUGGGCGUAAAGCGCACGCAGGCGGUCUGUCAAGUCGGAUGUGAAAUCCCCGGGCUCAACCUGGGAACUGCAUUCGAAACUGGCAGGCUAGAGUCUUGUAGAGGGGGGUAGAAUUCCAGGUGUAGCGGUGAAAUGCGUAGAGAUCUGGAGGAAUACCGGUGGCGAAGGCGGCCCCCUGGACAAAGACUGACGCUCAGGUGCGAAAGCGUGGGGAGCAAACAGGAUUAGAUACCCUGGUAGUCCACGCCGUAAACGAUGUCGACUUGGAGGUUGUGCCCUUGAGGCGUGGCUUCCGGAGCUAACGCGUUAAGUCGACCGCCUGGGGAGUACGGCCGCAAGGUUAAAACUCAAAUGAAUUGACGGGGGCCCGCACAAGCGGUGGAGCAUGUGGUUUAAUUCGAUGCAACGCGAAGAACCUUACCUACUCUUGACAUCCAGAGAACUUAGCAGAGAUGCUUUGGUGCCUUCGGGAACUCUGAGACAGGUGCUGCAUGGCUGUCGUCAGCUCGUGUUGUGAAAUGUUGGGUUAAGUCCCGCAACGAGCGCAACCCUUAUCCUUUGUUGCCAGCGGUCCGGCCGGGAACUCAAAGGAGACUGCCAGUGAUAAACUGGAGGAAGGUGGGGAUGACGUCAAGUCAUCAUGGCCCUUACGAGUAGGGCUACACACGUGCUACAAUGGCAUAUACAAAGAGAAGCGACCUCGCGAGAGCAAGCGGACCUCAUAAAGUAUGUCGUAGUCCGGAUUGGAGUCUGCAACUCGACUCCAUGAAGUCGGAAUCGCUAGUAAUCGUAGAUCAGAAUGCUACGGUGAAUACGUUCCCGGGCCUUGUACACACCGCCCGUCACACCAUGGGAGUGGGUUGCAAAAGAAGUAGGUAGCUUAACCUUCGGGAGGGCGCUUACCACUUUGUGAUUCAUGACUGGGGUGAAGUCGUAACAAGGUAACCGUAGGGGAACCUGCGGUUGGAUCACC
rnacentral:rRNA from 1 species